rnacentral:rRNA from 1 species
CCAGACUCCUACGGGAGGCAGCAGUGGGGAAUAUUGCACAAUGGGGGAAACCCUGAUGCAGCGACGCCGCGUGAGCGAUGAAGUAUUUCGGUAUGUAAAGCUCUAUCAGCAGGGAAGAAAAUGACGGUACCUGACUAAGAAGCCCUGGCUAACUACGUGCCAGCAGCCGCGGUAAUACGUAGGGGGCAAGCGUUAUCCGGAUUUACUGGGUGUAAAGGGAGCGUAGACGGCGGUGCAAGCCAGAUGUGAAAGCCCGGGGCUCAACCCCGGGACUGCAUUUGGAACUGUGCUGCUAGAGUGUCGGAGAGGCAGGCGGAAUUCCUGGUGUAGCGGUGAAAUGCGUAGAUAUCAGGAGGAACACCGGCGGCGAAGGCGGCCUGCUGGACCGUAACUGACGUUGAGGCUCGAAAGCGUGGGGAGCAAACAGGAUUAGAUACCCGUGUA